rnacentral:lncRNA from 1 species
ACUCCUCACCGGAGAAUCAUGACUUCUCCUCCACACAUGCCUGAACCACCUCAGCCUCGCUUCUCGCAUCUUCUUAUCCUCCAGGGCCACCCUUACCUUCUUUCGAAUAACUUCAUUCUUAAUCUUAUCUAACCUGGUGAGCCCGCACAUCCACCAGAGCAUCCUCAUCUCCGCAACCUUCAUUCUCUGAACAUGAGAGUUCUUUACGGGCCA